GAAAAGCUCCAGAAUUUGAAUACAAAUGUCAGGUAUAAGUUGGUAAUGAUCAGCAGUCAGCUGUAGAACUUGAUCGAAACUUAGCUAAGCCAUUCCUCAGCCCUUCCAUUGGCCCUUGUGAUUGUAUCCUAACCCAUUUUCCUCCAUAGCAUUCAUUUCCCCCAUGAUCUUUCCAAAGAAUUCACCUAUAGAUCUCAAUUCUCUCUCGCCAUGCUAAGAUUAUCUUUCUUACUACCAAUUCCUUCUAGGCUCCAUCAUUUCUUUCCUAACGUCUUCUGAUUCGACUUUGAGACAACCCAGCACUCUGGAAUCUUUGCUGCGACUUCUCCAAUGGACAGAUGUUCCGUUCCAUCCUCUUAACGAGGCUCCAUCAUUUCUUUCCUAACGUCUUCUGAUUCGACUUUGAGACAACCCAGCA
rnacentral:lncRNA from 1 species